rnacentral:tRNA from 1 species
GUCGGUGUAGCUCAGUUGGUUAGAGCACAUCACUCAUAAAGAUGAGGUCGGAGGUUCGAUCCCUCCCACCGACA